rnacentral:tRNA from 1 species
CGGUGGCCAGGUCGGCCGCCUGUCGGCCGGUGACCGACGGCAGUGAGAUCCGCAGCUCGAUCGCCAGUUCGAAGCGGCCGCCGUCGCCC